GUCCUCGUAGUAUAAAAAUUACCCCGGUCUUGUAAACCAGAAAUGAAGAGAAUACUCUUCCCAGGACA
rnacentral:tRNA from 1 species